rfam:Chlamydotis undulata macqueenii contig92532, whole genome shotgun sequence.
UUAGAGACUGUUUUAACAGUCACAUACAUUCAAAAAAACUUCAAG